CCUACGGGAGGCAGCAGUGAGGAAUAUUGGUCAAUGGACGAAAGUCUGAACCAGCCACGCAGCGUGCAGGAUGACUGCCCUCUGAGUUGUACACUGCUUUUAUAUGGGAGUACACUGUUACACGUGUAUGAUUUUGUAUGUACCGUACGAAUAAGGAUCGGCUAACUCCGUGCCAGCAGCCGCGGUAAUACGUAGGAUCCGAGCGUUAUCCGGAUUUAUUGGGGUUAAAGGGAGCGUAGGUGGGUUGUUGAGUCAGUUGUGAAAGGUCGGGGCUCAACCGGAAAAUUGCAUUUGAUACUGGUAGGCUAGAGUAUAGUAGAGGGGGGCGGAAUGCGUGGUGUAGCGGUGAAAUGCUUAGAGAUCAGGAAGAACACCGAUGGCGAAGGCAGCUCACUGGACUAAAACUGACGCUGAGGCGCGAAAGUGUGGGUAGCAAACAGGAUUAGAUACCCUGGUAGUC
rnacentral:rRNA from 1 species